UACAGAGGGUGCAAGCGUUAAUCGGAAUUACUGGGCGUAAAGCGCACGUAGGUGGCUUGAUAAGUUGGGUGUGAAAUCCCCGGGCUUAACCUGGGAAUUGCAUUCAAGACUGUCUUGCUAGAGUGUGGAAGAGGGAAGCGGAAUUCCAGGUGUAGCGGUGAAAUGCGUAGAUAUCUGGAGGAACAUCAGUGGCGAAGGCGGCUUCCUGGUCCAACACUGACACUGAGGGGCGAAAGCGUGGGGAGCAAACAGG
rnacentral:rRNA from 1 species